rnacentral:rRNA from 1 species
GAUGAACGCUAGCGGGAGGCCUAACACAUGCAAGCCGAACGGGCUGUUCCUUCGGGGGCAGUCAGUGGCGCACGGGUGCGUAACACGUAGGUAAUCAACCCUCUGGUUGGGGAUAACACUUCGAAAGGAGUGCUAAUACCCGGUAUGGCGCAGCGGUCUUCGGAUCGCGGCGAGAAAGACCCGCAAGGGUUGCCAGAGGACGAGCCUGCGGCCCAUCAGCUAGUUGGCGAGGUAACGGCUCACCAAGGCGAAGACGGGUAGCUGGUCUGAGAGGAUGAUCAGCCACACUGGAACUGAGACACGGUCCAGACUCCUACGGGAGGCAGCAGUGGGGAAUAUUGCGCAAUGGCGAAAGCCUGACGCAGCCACGCCGCGUGAGCGAUGAAGGCC